UAAUCUAAUUUCCUCCAACCACAAAACCCUAACUCCCUCUCUCUUUCGUUCGCCUCCCUCCCCCUCGAAUACCAGCCGGACGUGUCCUCCCCCAGUCCGCCGCGCCCCCAUGCCGUGGUGAAGAAAAUUCUGGAGCAGGAGCCGGAGAUGCUGCCGUGCCACGUCUUAGCGUCACCACUCUCCCCGCAGCUCUGUCUCUCCGUCUCUCUGCCUCGUUUACGACGGCCAUAGCAGGUCGUCGCCACCAACCCGUGCCACCGUCGUUUCCUCCUCCACCAUUUCAGGUAUAUAUCCAAUCCUCAAUCUUGAUGUCGAUGAGUAUUUCCAAAAUCAGGUAAGCAUUUUACUUCUUGUGGCUGGGUCGUAUGCUGGCUAUAUACGUUCCUUAAGCAGGAUUUGAAGCUUCAAAUGUUGAUGAAAUGCACGAGUAAUGCCUGUUUUAGACCUUUUAUGUUUUUUUAUUGAGGUUUGGAGGAUUGGGGACAGGAGCUAAGUUGAAAAGGAUUAUGUCUGCUGAUAGUUUUUUUUAAUGAUAUCAGAGUCUCACACCCCCACGAUCACUUCUUUGCCUAGCUAAUUAUCAGAUGAUAUCAUUUUCAUUGGAUUAAUCAUCGCCCUUGUUGUUUAAUAUUUUCGAAAAUGACCUGCACGUUCUCUAGUUCGCCCUUGUUGAUUUCUGGAAUUACAGCAACUAGAGACCGAGAAUGCUAAGCUCUCUCGUCAGCUCUCCGUUUGCGUCUGCCAGAAGGUAACCUCCGCGUAUGCUCUUACAGUCGUAUAUCUGUAUCAAUUUGUUAUGUAAUCACGCAUUACAGAGUAGAAUGCAGUUGUUUGGAGUCCCUAUGUAGUCGAUAGAAAUGGAAACAUUCAUGCUGAAUCAUAAACACCUGAAUGAUACUGUGUAAGAUUUACAGCAGCAUUCAGUAUAUAAGAAAGUAUUGAAAAUUAUACACUCUGCCUAUUCACAUGACUCUGGAUUAUUGAAGAAUGGUUCAGGAUGUCUAGGUUCUAAGCUAAUGACUGGAAUGUGCCUCAACACUUGGCUAUGCUCCUAAUUGGUAAGUCUAGGAAGAAGUUGCUGAGUAUAUUUGAUUGUGUAAAUCUGUCAAUUGAUAUCUCGCCUGUCAUCAUGGACCAAUUUUGUUUAGGCUUUCUGGAGCUUCAUAUUCAAUCCAUAUGCACUUUAGGAAUGCUGAUUCUAGUCUCAUUAGUUCCUUUCUUGAUGACAUUGCUGAAGCUAUUGAUUCUUAUUCUGAAGAUAGUUUUUUUUUUUCAUGAUUCACCUGCGGCUUUGCACUAAAUGCAAGAUGAUAAUCUACGGGGGCUUAUGCCUUCGAUGGCAGCUACUUCAGAUGGCCUAACCACAUCUGCUUCUUGAGGAUGAACAUGAGUGCGAUUUUAUUACAGGAAUUGCCAAGAGAGAUACAACAACCUUAGAGGAAGAGAGCUGGCAAUAGUCCGAGUGCUAGCACUGUGUCGAAAUGCAAUCACCCAUGCCAAUAAGAGCAGUCGAUGUGAGCUUCUGCUAUCGGACACUCACAAAGGUGAUACCCCGAGGCUGCUCUACAUUUACAAAAGAUAGGGCAUCUUGCAUUUACACUAUCAAAGUUUUUGUAUUCUGUGUCUAAAGCGGUUGCUGAGAAAGCUGCAUGGCAAUUUGCGGAGGAAAAUGGCGUGGACAUAGUCGUGCUGAAUCCAGGAGUGGUGGUUGGUCCUAUUAUGGUGCAGUUUUUUAGAUGUUGUAGGAUUGUCAUAUGAAAAAUACUAUUAUGGUGUAGCUUUUUAGAUAUUCAUUAUGGUGUUGGGACAUGUUGUAAAACAAUGGAUCUUGUUUGUGGAUGUUGGAUUAUUAGUUGUUAUCAAUGUUUAAAUGAGCAUUUU